UACGGAGGGGGCUAGCGUUGUUCGGAAUUACUGGGCGUAAAGCGCACGUAGGCGGAUUGUUAAGUCAGGGGUGAAAUCCCGAGGCUCAACCUCGGAACUGCCUUCGAUACUGGAGAGCUUGAGUCCGGGAGAGGUGAGUGGAACUGCGAGUGUAGAGGUGAAAUUCGUAGAUAUUCGCAAGAACACCAGUGGCGAAGGCGGCUCACUGGCCCGGUACUGACGCUGAGGUGCGAAAGCGUGGGGAGCAAACAGG
rnacentral:rRNA from 1 species